ensembl:lncRNA
CAGGGAUUGUGUUUGCCAGCGAGGGAAUUUAUUUUGGCAGCUAUAAGCUGUUUUUUUCCAUGCAAAGGAGACUUCAGUGACCUUAUCUCCACGGGAGGUACCUAUGAUGAAAACUAACAGCUCACCAGCGAUGGGACGGCAUUGAGCUGCUUGGAAGCAAAUCCUCUCGAUAUGAUGAACAGCUUUAGUUUAGUCUGUCUCCUUCUGUGCACGGGAGUGGCUUCCUUCAGAUUUGAGGAGUUGACACAAUAUGUGAACAGCCAUGAAGAGGAAUUUAUCGAGGAUCCACAGCACUAGCACGUUGAGCAUCAGCGUCACAGUCACCUGUGUCUCGUAGUGUUUGCCGUGGAGCCGGAUCUGAUCCGUGAGCGACGUCACAGGCAAGAGCAUCAUCACGCUGCCCAGCGGAGGCUCCGACGACGGCCUGCAUUCACAGAACGAGAAGAUCAGCAGGUCCCCGGAGCCCCUGCGUCUGUCUAGAGCUGCUCUUCACGCACACACAUUCACGGUUUCAUGUCUUGUUUUUCAGAUACAGCUACAUGGAGCGAACCAAGCUGUUCAACGCCUUCCUGCAAGAAGUGUCUCAGAUCGAGAAGCACUCAUAUAAACACAUCUCUUCAUUACUAAUGCCAACAAAACCAAUUAAACAAGAGUUUUGCAUGUUUUUAUCAGUGUGAGUGAAAUAUGAACAAACCUCCAGAAUAUAGAG